UGGAAAUAACAUGUCUACAACAUCUGUCAAUGCAAACUUCAAAUACCCCAACUAUGAAUGUACGAAUGAGAACGAUACUCAGAAAACUAUUCAUCAUCGUUCAGAACACGCAAUAGUAGCUGGCUGCAUCGAAGGGAGUAAAAAGUAGCGUACCUACAUAACGUAAUCUUGUCAGACGUAGCUCGGGAUAAUGAGAAUCGCAAUCAGGCCGGAGACUGGAUAUUUCAGGUGAUGAUCACGAUCGCCCUGGGCCUUAGUUUCGAUUGCAAACGAUUUAUCUUUCGUGCUGACCACGGCAGCGACCGACUAUAAUCAAGGAAACAUCACUCUGGUGGACAGACUUUGGUGCCAGUUACACAAGAGAAAAAUACGCCAGAUAAAACGUAAUGCUCGGUCACCGGAAAUGACGGGUUCAUCGUCACGCCCUUCUGCGAAGUCCUUCUAGAACGACGUUUAAGAAAAGGACAUUGCACCAUGGUCUAUAAAUGAAAUUUAACAGUUCAAUGGUCUGAAGAUGGUAGAAUCUAAAUUUUAGAAAGAAAAUGAUUUGGAAUUUUAUAUAUAGGUUCCUUAACGUUAUCUUUGAA
rnacentral:misc_RNA from 1 species